rnacentral:rRNA from 1 species
AAAUUGAAGAGUUUGAUCAUGGCUCAGAUUGAACGCUGGCGGCAGGCCUAACACAUGCAAGUCGAACGGUAACAGGAAGAAGCUUGCUUCUUUGCUGACGAGUGGCGGACGGGUGAGUAAUGUCUGGGAAACUGCCCGAUGGAGGGGGAUAACUACUGGAAACGGUAGCUAAUACCGCAUAACGUCGCAAGACCAAAGAGGGGGACCUUCGGGCCUCUUGCCAUCGGAUGUGCCCAGAUGGGAUUAGCUAGUUGGUGAGGUAACGGCUCACCAAGGCGACGAUCCCUAGCUGGUCUGAGAGGAUGACCAGCCACACUGGAACUGAGACACGGUCCAGACUCCUACGGGAGGCAGCAGUGGGGAAUAUUGCACAAUGGGCGCAAGCCUGAUGCAGCCAUGCCGCGUGUAUGAAGAAGGCCUUCGGGUUGUAAAGUACUUUCAGCGGGGAGGAAGGGAGUAAAGUUAAUACCUUUGCUCAUUGACGUUACCCGCAGAAGAAGCACCGGCUAACUCCGUGCCAGCAGCCGCGGUAAUACGGAGGGUGCAAGCGUUAAUCGGAAUUACUGGGCGUAAAGCGCACGCAGGCGGUUUGUUAAGUCAGAUGUGAAAUCCCCGGGCUCAACCUGGGAACUGCAUCUGAUACUGGCAAGCUUGAGUCUCGUAGAGGGGGGUAGAAUUCCAGGUGUAGCGGUGAAAUGCGUAGAGAUCUGGAGGAAUACCGGUGGCGAAGGCGGCCCCCUGGACGAAGACUGACGCUCAGGUGCGAAAGCGUGGGGAGCAAACAGGAUUAGAUACCCUGGUAGUCCACGCCGUAAACGAUGUCGACUUGGAGGUUGUGCCCUUGAGGCGUGGCUUCCGGAGCUAACGCGUUAAGUCGACCGCCUGGGGAGUACGGCCGCAAGGUUAAAACUCAAAUGAAUUGACGGGGGCCCGCACAAGCGGUGGAGCAUGUGGUUUAAUUCGAUGCAACGCGAAGAACCUUACCUGGUCUUGACAUCCACGGAAGUUUUCAGAGAUGAGAAUGUGCCUUCGGGAACCGUGAGACAGGUGCUGCAUGGCUGUCGUCAGCUCGUGUUGUGAAAUGUUGGGUUAAGUCCCGCAACGAGCGCAACCCUUAUCCUUUGUUGCCAGCGGUCCGGCCGGGAACUCAAAGGAGACUGCCAGUGAUAAACUGGAGGAAGGUGGGGAUGACGUCAAGUCAUCAUGGCCCUUACGACCAGGGCUACACACGUGCUACAAUGGCGCAUACAAAGAGAAGCGACCUCGCGAGAGCAAGCGGACCUCAUAAAGUGCGUCGUAGUCCGGAUUGGAGUCUGCAACUCGACUCCAUGAAGUCGGAAUCGCUAGUAAUCGUGGAUCAGAAUGCCACGGUGAAUACGUUCCCGGGCCUUGUACACACCGCCCGUCACACCAUGGGAGUGGGUUGCAAAAGAAGUAGGUAGCUUAACCUUCGGGAGGGCGCUUACCACUUUGUGAUUCAUGACUGGGGUGAAGUCGUAACAAGGUAACCGUAGGGGAACCUGCGGUUGGAUCACCUCCUUA